GGAGAGGUGUCCGAGCGGUUGAUGGAGCUCGUCUCGAAAACGAGUGAGGGUUAAUAGCUCUCCGUGGGUUCGAAUCCCACCCUCUCCG
rnacentral:tRNA from 1 species